UUUUUUUUUUUGGUGUUUGGUGGUUUUCGUUUGGUUUUUUGUUUUGUUUUGUUUUGUUGAUUUUUUCUUUUAAUGAUUGCAGAUGGAGGUGUUGUUACAUCCUUCCUUUACAAGGCUAAUGAUUAGAGCACUUGCCCAUAAACGACAUCGAAUGUCUUCUGCCUGUUUUACAACAUGUAUAUAGGUGUCAGCUCCCAGCUGAGAUAAAAAACCUCUGUGUGUAACCUGUGUGUAACCACAGCCAGUGGGCCAUUAUAGCAAAGGAAAGGACCUGUGGGAUCCCUUGAAGCAUAGUAGAAGGUAUUUUGCUUCAGGAGUCUGUCCAGGAUCUGAAGAUAAAAGAGAUGUAUGGUUCCAUUGCUGCUUCAGGAGAUGAUAACUUCCUGCAUGUUUUUCACAGUGUUUCUGGACCCCUUGUUUAAGGAACCUAUACCUCCAGGAAGCCUUAGCACUAGGUCAUGUACAUAGAGAUGGAAUGGAUGUUUUAGAAUGCCUUCUGAUUUGGCCCUGAAGGGAACUGGACUCAGCUGAAGAGGCCCAAAUGCUCUGUGGGUUGUAUGGACACAAUUCCAGCAAUAGGAAGGCUAUUUUUUCCCAGGGACACCACCAUCCUUGGAAUUCCACAGCAGCUUUAUGACUAGGUGUGACUAGGUGUUAUAGUGCUGUUGAUAUGGGGCUCAAAGAGAUAAUUUGUAAGGGUAGAGGUGUCCAGCUGGAAGUUAAACAGGCCUGAUUAUUUGCACAAGUCUGGGCCUAUCUGAAUUGUUUUUGCUACUGCAAUAUACCAGCCUCUUUUUUUACCAUGCAUUUGACUUUGAUUCCUCUAUUUAUCCUCCUUAAUAACAGUCUUUGCUUUUAUGGAAAUGGAUUACAUCUGUCAGUUCAGGCUGGAAGUUGUACUUGUGUUUUUUCUAAACCUCCAGCUCCUCUAACAGCACUGCAUCUGUGCUAUGUGAUUCAUUGUGAGCUAUAAAGCACAGCAGUGCUUUGGUGACUGUGUGUGUGUAAGCUCUGCUUUGUACAUGGACAGCUGAAGGUCGAGAAACUGGGAUGCCUUAGGAAUGCAGAAGCAGAGCCCUGCCAGAUUCCCUGGGGUCCCAGAGGUGUUUAUACACAGAGGCAUUUGAGAUGUGUUUCCAUUCUCUCUGCGUGGCUCCAAGCUGUGCCUGGGAACUGGCACAGCUGGCAUUAUUUUAAGGCCCUUUUACUGUGUUUUAAACUUAUCAUAUAAGAUUACAAAAAAUGCCACUUUGGAGAGCAAAUGCGGUGAAUUCUAUCCCUGAAUUCAAGAAAACAUUGUAACUGUUUAUGAAUGUAACAACACAAGGAGGGUAAUUGUUCAAUCUGCUUAAUUUUUCUAACUGGAAGCAUCUUUUCCUGUAAUUUUAAGAGCCUAGGAUCCUAACAAUAUCUUGGGCUUUAAUAAUUUUAGCUAAGAUACCAAUAUUGUUGCUUCUGAAGAUAUUUAGUUAUCAAACUGGUGGCCACCUACAUAUCAUGCCACCUGUCAGGUCUUUUUCAAUCAAAACAUGAUGCAUGUUUUAUCUUGCCCUUAUUUCCAAACAUUGUUGUCAAUAAGAUGCAUUCUAAAAUACAAGCCAUUAGUCUUCUCUGGGAUGUGAAUAGAAUCACAUGAAAAUAAAUAGCCACGACUUUGAUACUACAAAGGUGAUGAGCAGGGAAGUUGUUCUAGUAUAUUCUGAAAUUUGUUAAAAAAGCAUGUGUCUACAUGCUGAGAAAGGUCUGGAAAGAGGUAAUCUCUAAUGGAUUGCUCAGUUCUCUCUCUGAAGUGUCUGUGGGCAAAACUGGGUAAGUAGGCACAUCAAAACUUACAUAUGAAAAUUUUUGUUCCUGUGCUGGAUAUGCCUUUUAAGUGCUUAGGCAUUGAGUGCUCUCUCUGCUGGAAUGCAAAACCAGUGCAUAUAAAUGCUACCAGAAAGGAAGAAGUAUGCUCUCAUCAGAGAGAAAAAUUGAGAAGGUGUGCUAGAAACAUGAGACCUGCAGAGUUUCCUGGGGAAAAAAAAUGCUGUUAGCAGCAACCCACCCAGAGUUUUUAGCCUGGAGAAAACAUAUCUCACUGUAAACCUGCGUGAAGCCCAAAGAAGUGGUUGAAGAAAGAUUAGGAUAUACUGUGUUCUCAGUUUUCCUUUGAGCCACCUCCAGACAGUCCCUCUUUAGCAUCCUAAUCUUUGAAAUCCCUUUCUGAGACAUCCUAACUCUCAAAUAAACAUAAGGAGUCAGGGAUCCCAGAGGAGGAAAACCAACAGCUUCUCCUUUGAACCUUGCAAACCAUGGAAUAAAACCAGCACAACACUUUAUGUGCUGGUUCCUCCCACUAAAAUCCAGCAUCCACACCUAUAGUAAAAGUCUGAACUUAAACCCAAGCAGAUGCCAUGUCAUACUGAUACCAUAGCAAAGGCCUUUCUUCCUCCAUUUUUUUCCUAGGAACGGGGAGGAAGAGGAGAGAAAGGCAGGUAACAGGGAAGUAAAGCUGGACAACAGAUGGGAGGAAAAGAUAACUCUAUUCUCAGGAGUCAUGAAGAAACUCACAAGAGAAGUAAAGAAGACAUUUUCUACUGUGUGUGCUGAAACUGCUGGAGAAUGAGCCCUCCACCUGCACAACUUUCUGAAUAAAUAUUUCAGCAGCGCAAUGACGGAAUGGGCUGUGGUAUGAAGCAGAUGUGAUGUCAAAGAAGCAAAAGCUGCAGCACACUUUGCUUCAUUAGAGAGGGAUAUCUGGCAAGAGAUUUGACAGAUCCUGGGGCCCUGAGGAACACAAUUGCUUUAACACCCAUGUCUGCCAUGUAGCUGCAGCGCCAGGGACCCUGCCUCGGUCAUAUUUGGCACCUCGGCACAGUUCUUCAUUUCUUCUUUUCGCCUGACAAUUGUGCUCAUGGCUUUGUCAUCCCAGUAAGUGGGAGUACAAGAGCUGGCAACAUCCUGGCAUCCUUUCUGAGCGCACGCACUGGAUAGUUUUGUUGAAUGCCGUUCUGUCACGAUGUUCAAAGCAAACAUCUACUGCAAUGCAGCUGUUUGAGCUGUGCCUGCACUUGGAACAUCUCAUCUGCAGCUGAUGAGAAAUUGUGGGAGCUAAGAUUCAUCUCAAGAUGCAGUGCCAAGGCCCUGACAUGCUUCAUCUUUUUCUUCCACACUACUACCACAGGCAAUAGUCUGGCAUUAUCCCCUUGGUGGGAAGAGAUGUUGGAGGAGGAACAGUGGAGGUAGGACCUGGGCCAGAGGCCUUACAUAAUCCAAGCCUGAGCACAUGGAAAGCCUCUUUGCCAGAAGAAUUUCUGCCUACCAACUCUGAGGUAACACUACUGCAACAGAAGCUUGCCACUUUUGAACGUGGCUCUUUUGAUAGAUUUGGCUGUAUUGGUAAAGUUCUUGUAUCUCAUAUAUGAGAACACAAACAUCUAGUUUGUCUCUUUGUUUUUCCCUUAGUAUUCACAGUUUGCUCUGGGCACUUGCAGCAUUUAGGAAGAAUAUCAGUCUGAUUUGUUGCCUGCAAGAGAGUCUAAUUAAAACAAGAGAGCAGGAUGGGAACUGAUGACACAUAGUGCAGCUGAGCUGCUCCCAAAGCUGAACAUGGCAGCUGUGGUUUUCGUCAUUUGCAAAGCCUCAGCCAACACGUUGGCCCACAGAGUUAAAAUAAAUGUCUAAUUAUGUUGUUUAAUUAUUUCAGUUCCAAAUUCCUGCUUGAAAAGUAUUGCAAAAGAUGUGAGAGAAGCACUGAGAGAGCCAUUAUCACGUCUGUGGCUUGCCAGUAAAUCAGAAAUCACAAUGCUUUCUCUUAGUCAGGUUCCUCCCUUCCCCGUGCCUGUGGUCAGGCUGCAGAGGAAGGAGUGUGUGUGCUUGAACCAGCCUCCAGCCCUCUCCCCUCCCCUGUCACUUGGCACUGACUCACAGCACUGUUUUUCAACAUGAUGCUAAUUAGCCGCUGAGUAGUGAGAUGCUGUGAACUCUGAGAGAAAAGACAGAAAAAGACUUCAAAGAUGUUUACCAUUUUUUCCUUUUUUAAUUGUGACAGUAAUAAAAAAAAUUCUUAUCACUGCUGUCUGGAUCCAGCCAUUUCUUGUGUGCAGGAAGACAUUGCUCCAGGUUAUUCUGGGGUGAGGAGGUUGUGACUUUGUUUGCUUUCCAUGCAGUGGGCCAAAAAGAGGGAGCAAAUAUGGAUUGCUGUGCUAAAUCUGGUGGCUAUAAUUUGACAUAUAAUUCCACUUGGUACUAGUGUGCCAAGCAGAGGAAAAUUGAUGCAGGAAGAGAGACUGAGACUCCUGUAUCAGAGCAACCUCUUGGCAGGUCUUGUUAGGUCCAAGUUGAGUUUGGGGCACUGACACCUUUUCAUGCACAGCUUAAGCAAAUGCUCUUGGUUGACGUGAUGAGGACCAUUAGGUCCUUCAGAAUCUGGUUUUUUUAGCCUGUAUUCACAAUAUCACUUGCAGUAAAUUGGUUGUUACUGUCUCAAUUAACGGAUCUACUGUCUUUGGACACAGCCCACCUAUCAGUUAAGCUGCUUGUGAACCAAAUGUUCAUUAAAAUUGUCUUUAUCCAGAACCCUGGAAAUAAAAUGACUUUUCACACAGAAAUGGUUCCCACUGGUCAUGCAUCUUUAAUUAAGCUGUGGCCCACUUCUGCCAUACUGUGUUAUUCUAAAUUUGUCAUUCUUCAAAUAGCUUAAUAAGAGAUGGAUGUUGAAUACAUUGUAAAAAUGUAGAGGAAAAAGUCUUUGAGAAAGACUUUUGUUUUUCAUGUGAGUCUAUUUGUCUUUUAUUUUCCUGAUGUUAAAGGUCUUCCCUUGCCCAGUUUUGAAAAUUCUGCACAACUUAUAACCAAUAUAGUCAGUGGCCCCCUUGAUAUUAAUUUGUGUGAUCAAAGAGACCUCUGAACUGCUCAGGGAACACUUGGAGUCAACAGUUUGCAUUCAUCAGGCUCAUGAUUCACACACAAAUAAACUGAGACUGUAGCUGAUGUGCCUGCUUAGUUAUCUUGAGAUCACUGUUUUGUUCUCCCACAAACUGAGUUUCACAUUUCUCCUAACUAUACCGAGAUCUCUGUGUUUUCACAUGGAACAAAUAAGAGAGGACAAUGAAAGCUAGAGCUCCAAGAAGUCAAGUCUUUUCUGUAUCCAGGAUUUUGGGGUUUUUCUUGAUGAACAUUUUGAAUUCCAAAGGGAUUUACUGUAGUAACAGUUGUUAAUUAUUGCAAAGAGAAACUGGCUGAAGAGAAAAAAGAUUUGUCUCCAGAGUCAGGUGUCAGUUUGCUGCAGAUCCCUCUUCAGCUAAGAGAAUAUUGACACUACAAACAAUGACUGCACACCACAGUCAACUGAAAAACCAAUCGAUUUCUUAGAACUGCUUUUGGAACAUGUGGUCAGUCAGUGAUAUUCUCCUUUUCCAGUCCAGGUAUUCUGAUUUUAGUUCUCAGUUUCCUAUCCAAACUGAUGCUUUUUUGUCAUUAGAAAAUUACAAAAAGACUUUCUAGAAGGAAAAGUAGGUUUAAUUUCUUUUGUUCUAAUCUGAUCUUGUGAGGAGUCCAAAUGUGGUGACUGCAUAUAAAUCUUGAUGCCCAUCUGAGAGUGGUAGGAAUUUAAAUGAAAAAUUUUUAUUUCUCCUAAACUGGAGACAGCAAAAAUUGAAUAUUUUAAGCUGCCCUUGUAUCUCUAAACCUUGUCAGUCCCUUUCCUUGUUUCUCUUUUUGCAUGUGCACAUCUGAGUAGUAUUUUAUUCUCGUAUGUAUUUCAGGAUUUAUUCAUGUCGAUUUGUUUAAACUGUGUAAUCUGUAAAUGUGUAGAUUGUUGUUGGCCUUUAUUCAGAUACCAUCCACAAUUCCUUUUUAUCUAGACCAUUAUUUUCACAUAAUUUAAAGUACAUCUAAAAUAGCAUUUUAUUGUCUGCACCUUUUAGCAUUACUCCUACAAAAGAAGUAAAAACUGCUCUUAUAUUUUUUUUUUGUGAGGGAGAAUUACUAAAGGAAUAUUAAAAUAUACAGUGAUUACUCCUUCUCACUAAAAUCCCUGAUCUGAUUCCAGGUCAUAAGAAGUUGCAGGGGACCAAAAUCAGUGUUAAUUGUUUGUACCUGUCCAAAUAUGAAUUUUCUCCUGAGUAUGCAAAGGAAGGUCAUUAAUCAACACACCCCAUGCUGGACCUCUGCUGGUGCGGCCACUUCACCCUUGGCUGGUGAGGAUGAACUUUCCUUCUUUUCAAGGCUUACACAAACCGGUGCCAGCUGUGAAGCAGAAGGAUUUUAAAGCCAACAUGAGGCCAGUGUGGUAGGAUGGGGUGCUGCAACACAUAAGUAGUGCUCAAAAGACAGGGUGUCUUUUGCAGCUCAUCUCUCUGCUCUGUGAAUUACUUUAUUACUUAUCAGGUGCAAUGAGCAGGAGGCCUCCAGACCCGAGAUUUCAUUGUGCCACAGGGCCAGAAAGGCAACCAUGCCUCCCAGUGACAGCAAUCUUCCUUCAGCUGUGAAAGUGUGUGCAAGAGGGGACUACAAUUAAUACUGCACAGUGCAUGCUUUGAAAAAAAAAACCUCAUCAAAACUGUGUCAGCUUUAAAUUUUUAAGUUGAACAUUAUCCUGGAUAUUCAAACACUUUGUUAAGUAAUGGAUAUAUCCAGGUUCUUGCAAUUCUAGAGGAGUAAAACUUUCACAGCGUGUCAAUGGCACAUCCAGUCACUGUCAAAAGAGCAACAGGUGAGAUUUCCAAGGCAAGUAUAUAAUUAAGCUAGCAAAAGGGGCAUUGAAAGCUGUUGUGGUAAGGAUAGCUUUCCACAUCAAAAUCCAUGCUUGGAAAAUGUUGUGAAUAAUGUUUUCUUUUGAAAAGGCUGCAGUAAAAUGGGAAUGGAGGAAGGAAGAAAAAAACAGAGUGUAGUAUAUUCAGGCUUCUUUUCUGCCGGCCUGUUAAUGCUUGUUACCUUUAUACAGCUUUUCUGCUGUUAAAAUAAAAUUGAAAGAAAAUCCCUCUCUUACUCUUCAAUGAAAAAUUUAAAAGACUGAAAUGGACACAUUCCUGCAAUAUCCAGAACAUCUCUGGAAUUUUCUGGUACUUCAGUGAAACAUUUAGGUGUCCCACAUUGUCCCACCUUGUUUCUUUUCCAGUUUUCAGUAUUCCCCUCAUGGGGAUGGUCAUUGGCUCCCUGACUCAUCAUGCCAUUCAGUUGCUGUAUCUCUUUCUUUAAGUGUAAGUUUACAUAGUUAAAUUAAGUGCUCUGUAAAUUAAAUACUCUACUAAAAUCCAGGCAGGAGGCUGCCAUUGGUGGAUGCAGACUUUUUUCUUCAAAUCCAUUGCCCUCUCCAAUGAGAAACUGCCACAGACCCUUCCUCUUCUAGGUUUCUUACUCAUCCACAGCAGUAGUGUGGUUGAGUUUAACUUCAACUCUAACUUUCAGCUCUCACAUGAGAGCAGCUUUAGAGAUUUCUGUUGUAAGUUUCUAAAAUACAGUGCAAAGUUUUUGAGUGCUAAUAGGGCGGCUGCAGGGCAUGAGUUGUAUCACUGUGAAGGCUGGGCAACUUCACAGUGGGGACACCAGUACCUGCUUGGGUCUAGAUCCAAAAUGGGCUUACCUGCCUUUGGGGCUUUGCAGCUCCUAACCUGAGUUUAGAAAUGAGGAAGAACUUUAAAGAGAUCAACCGUCUUGGAUAAAGAAUAAUUUGGGUAUAGCAGCAAACUUUGGAAGUGUUACUACCCUGACUUCUACCUUAUUGUAAUGGUAGCCAGAAUUAAAUGCAUGAAAUUUGGGCAAAAUUUGAACAUAAUUAGUAAUAAUCCAAAUAUAUUUUCUAAAUACAUGACUGGGUGAAAUUCUAGCUCAUUAUUUUCAAUUUUUUUCCUCAAAAUUAAAUGCUUCUGGAUAUUUUAUAUUCAGGAACAAUUUUUAUUCUUCAAUGCUCAUUAAAAACCAUGACCAGGGUGCACAGUGUAGCUUUAAAGAGUCUCACAAGUUUUCUCUCUCAAGAUUCAGAGUAUCAAAAUUAUGAUCUGUCUGAAAUUAUAAAUAAGCCUUCUUCAGAAUGUUUGCCUUUAUGAUCUCCUAAUUUGCAUUUCUCCAAUAUUAUUUGUUAUUUAAAAUACAGCUUGCCUUGUUUUGUUUUGAUGCUUGAAUUUCAUGUUACAGCAGCAAUAACACACUCCAGGUAAUUAAUUUCCAGUUGAGCUUCACUGGAAGCUUGAGUGCUUGAGUGCUUAAAAAACCAUUUGGCUUACUAUCUUGUACCUUUUAAUGCCUCCUGCAGUCUCCAAUAACCAUUCAAGAAAUUCACUGCUUGUCAUGGCCUAUUGGUUUAAAUUAAAAAACUAAAUUUGGAAACUCCACAUGCUCUGCUAUCAGUUUUUCUAGUGUAAAACUGUCCUACCAUGGGAAAUUGCCAGUGGACUUCACCAUCCCUGAAAAAAAUCAGCAUUAAUAGAGUGGAAACAGAGUAGAAGAAUAUUUUGGCUGUGUCUUUUUGGUGAAAUAUAGUGUAGAUAUAAAUUUGAAACAUGUCAAAAAAAGAAAUACAAAUUAUUUUAAAGCAGCCUGUGCUUUGGGGGAUUGAAUGCACCGUGGAGACCGUGAGGUGGCAUGUGGCAUGGCAGCAUCAGGCAGAGGUGCUCACACAGCUCAGGAGGCACUACAGGAAUAUCAGCCAGGCAGCAUGUCUGUGCCAGGCUGUGCUGCACAAUAAUUGUGCCUCUCAAUGAUAGCUUUUGUGGAGACAUGUCUGAUGGCUGUCAGGUAAACACAGCAGUUCAAGAGCAUCCUCAGUCACCACAGCAUUGUGCCUUGAGGACAGCCCCCAAGCCCCUUUUUGCUUGACCAGGCCUACUCGUGUGGUACCUGAAAUCCUGGGGAGACUGACAGUCAACAGAGCAGGUGUGCACCCUCACAAGGGAUGCCAUCCAGAGGAAUCUUGACAAUUUUCAGAAGUGAGUCUGUGUUCCAGACCAAGUAUGAGGUCCGGCACCUGGGUCAGGGCAGUCCCCAACACAAGUACAGACUGGAUGGAGAAUGGAUCAAGAGCAGUGCUACAGAGAAAUAUACUUGGGGUGUGGGACAAGAGACUUGACAUGAGCCAGCAAUGCAUGCUUGGAUCCCAGGAGUCCAACCAUAUCCUGGGCUACAGCCAAAGCAGCGUGGCCAGCAGGUUAAGAGAACUCAUUCUGCUCCUCCACUCCAUUCUCACGACACCCCACCUGGAGUUCCACAUUCAACUCUGGAGCACCUAACAGAAGAAAGUCAUGGACCUACUGGAAUGAGUCCACUGGAGGGCCAUGAAGAUGCCCAGUGGACUGGAAUACUUCUUCCUCUAUGAGAACAGGCUGGGAGAGUUGGGGUUUGUUUAGCAUAGUGAAGAGAAGUCUCUAGGGAGACCCUAUAGCAGCCUUCCAGUACCUACAGUGGCUACAACAGAGCUGGAGAGGGACUUUUUGCAAGGGGAUGUGGUGAUGGAACAAGAGGGAAUAGCUUCAAACUAUAGGAGGGAAUAUUUACAUUACUGUUAGAAAGAAAUUCUUUACCCAGAGGGUAGUGAGGCACUGAACAGGUUUCCCAGAGUUGUGGAUGAAUCACCCCUGGAAGCAUCUGAGCCAGGCUGGAUGAUGCUGUGAGCAACCUGGUCUGGAUGAAGGUGUCCCUUUCCAUGACAGGGGGGUUGGAACCAGGGGAUCUUUCAGGUCCCUUCCAACCCAAACCUUGCUAUGUUUCUAUGAAAUUGUCACACCCAGCAGUGGGCAUUAAAGGUCUCAUUUCUCCUGUAUAAGGCUACUGUACCUCCCAUUGGAAAGGAAUAUGACCUGCUCUGUACUACAGAGGAAAGCUGAUUAGUAAAAGCACAUAGCCAAGGGUAGACACAGUUGAUAUGUAAAGGGUGGCAAGCAAGUCUGUAAGAGCUCCUGCCACAACCCCAGCACUGCAAAACUGACUCAAGGCAGCUCAGAUCAGUGAGGAGCUCAAUCUAGAUUAUUACACUUGUGUAUUGCCUGGUUUAUCAAUGCUUAGAUUUGGCAGAUCAGCUUCUGAUCAAUCUGAAGGGCAAUUUCCCCUUCAGCAUUCUACCAAAUACCAUCUAGGCAUAAAUUUACAUCCAGAAUUGAAAAUCCAGGCAUUUUUAGGGUUCACUUAAUGGAUAGGAUGGUGUCCCUUGCAAUAAUGUGGUAGAAGCCUGGAGUGGGAAAAGAAGUUGGUUUGCAUGUAAAGGUUCAGUCACACCAUUGGGAUGAGGGAAGUCUAGAUUAAAUACUUUCAGCAGAUCUGUCCUAUCUCAGGGGAAUGCCCUCAAGUGCACAGAGCACUGGGUAAGAUGUUCCCUUAUGCAGGUACAAAUGUUAAGGUUUUAUGGAUGCCAGAGAGAAAAGAAGAGUAUAGUUGGGCCCUUGGUAUAUCUGCCUAGAGUUUUCAAGCAGGUGCCAGCUUUGUAUCUUCAAAUGUCAAGUUGGUUGAAUGUGAGCCAGCUCUCAGAUGAAGCUGUGCAGCUCCAAGUAAUGCAGUGCUGGCUCUAGGAUAAUUAGAAUCAGUAAUCUGGAAGGCAGAAUUUAUUUAGGCUGGUUCUACUGCUGCUCCAAAGCAACUAGAGAACAUCCCACUCACUGAUAGAGCAGGCACCUCCUAAAUAGGGGCACCCAGCUUUGAGGUGCCUGGAGAAGGCCUUGGACUUCAGUCAGCAAGCUCCAACAGUUUCUGGGCUUGCAGCCAUUCUCCUUCAUCUAUGUCACAGAAAUCAUACCAAGUUUGGACUGAUCACAGCAUGAUCAAAGCCAUGCUGUGACAAUAAGCAAUUUGAGCUUCCCUUUUUUCUUCUCCUGGCUCCACUUUAGAGCUUUUCAGUGUUUAUAGCUUUAUAACUUAGUUAUUUAUCUCCAGGUCACAUCACAUGUUUUGUAUUGACUGCAAAUUGAUUUUUGUUCAU